GAUGAACGCUGGCGGCGUGCCUAAUACAUGCAAGUCGAGCGAACAGACGAGGAGCUUGCUCCUCUGACGUUAGCGGCGGACGGGUGAGUAACACGUGGAUAACCUACCUAUAAGACUGGGAUAAAUUCGGGAAACCGGAGCUAAUACCGGAUAAUAUAUUGAACCGCAUGGUUCAAUAGUGAAAGACGGUUUUGCUGUCACUUAUAGAUGGAUCCGCGCCGCAUUAGCUAGUUGGUAAGGUAACGGCUUACCAAGGCAACGAUGCGUAGCCGACCUGAGAGGGUGAUCGGCCACACUGGAACUGGGACACGGUCCAGACUCCUACGGGAGGCAGCAGUAGGGAAUCUUCCGCAAUGGGCGAAAGCCUGACGGAGCAACGCCGCGUGAGUGAUGAAGGUCUUCGGAUCUUAAAACUCUGUUAUUAGGGAAGAAAAAAUGUGUAAGUAACUAUGCACGUCUUGACGGUACCUAAUCAGAAAGCCACGGCUAACUACGUG
rnacentral:rRNA from 1 species